CGAAGACAGAGUCCUGCCUGCUCUCCCAGGCUAGAGUGCAGCGUGCAAUCGUAGCCUACAGUAAGAAGCCAGAAACGUGAAGAGAAGACCUCGCCUUGAUUUGCCAGAUGACCCAUGGCCUUUUUAGUCAAGUUCCUGGAGAAGUUAGGGUGGAGACUUAUUUGUCCUGCGUUUGGGGCAAUAAAAGGGGAGGGGCCGCCUCCUCCAGCCUGUUCUAAAAAGCCAAAAAGCAAGGCUAUUUACUCAGCCCUGGGCUACUAAGUGCUGGGGUGGCCUAUGUUGACUUAAAUGAGCCCUUGCAGUUAGGUGGGGCUCUCUGGAGCUGUUAGUCAUGUGAGGUUGCCAGGGCAACUUAAUGUCUUAUGAGCUGGAAUGCUUCAAGAAGUACAAAGAGGAGACUACAAGAGUGCAUUACAACUUACAGUCAUAUGUUCAAUAACAUGUCAUCUUUCCUAAUGGGGCUUUUAUUUUUAUUUUAUUUUGUGGGAUUGAAAGAUCAGAAGCCGGAAAUUAUCCGGAGAGGAU
rnacentral:lncRNA from 1 species